ensembl:lncRNA
UCCUGCCCAGCUACAUCAGAUCAGCCAACAACUUUGUAAUUGCUAAAAACAGCCUGUUGAUUUUCCUCCUAAGUGCUUCAGCUGGCCUGGCUGAGCUUUCUCUUUUCCACUGUCUUGAGAUGUUUCUCUCAUUGUGCACUACGCCGUAUUUUUAUGGUCAACAUAUCCUAUAGCAAACAAUUUCAGGCUGAUGGCGGAAGGGAGAUUGGAUUCAGAUCGGAGAUUUGAGCCCCGGAUGGGGAGCCAGGAACGCCUCAGUUCCUGGACCAGAUCUGCCACUAAAUCAGGAAUCCACAUAAAGCAAAGCCACAUGACGAGCAACUGCAGGAUGAUUUGAUUUUGUGUGCAGAGGAGGAAGCGAGUGUUUGAACACGGCUCUCGCCUUGGUGCGCCCGCUGCAACUGGAGCCGCCAUUACAGGACUGCAGCAGGAGCUUGCUGCAUCUUGGCUUUCUAUUUAGAGUGAGAAUGAGAGGAAUUGAGGAUCCCCCUGUUCUGCGCAAAGCCCAGGAGAAGGAAGAGAUGCAGGAGGAGUUGCCUGUCUCCAGCCACUGCCCAGGCACAGGGGACAGAGGCACACCCACAGCCACUGUGGCGCAGCUGAGUUCCUCCACAGCCAGAAAUGGUGGGAGAAAACUCUGGUGCUGAGUCACAUUUCCUUCCCAUGGGCUCAUGCUGGGAUGGAUGGAUGCGCCUGCCCUGUGCCUGCAGGGCCUCACUGCAUGGCUCCUGCUGGGUGAGCGUGCUGGACUGAUCGAGGUGGAUGCAGUGGUCCCCGUCAGAUGUGUGCCAAAUUGAAAUGCCAGCAGCUGUGUGAGCAGCGGGAUAAUCAUAUCUGCUGCUUCUCUCUUCCAAGUCCUGGCAUUCCCAUUUCAGCAAUGGUGUGUCCGUGCUCAGCUCCGCGGGAGGAAAUCCAUUGACCGAAGCCAUGCUGACGCCUGGGGGAUGCGGUUACAUGUUCAUCAGUCACCUGUCUGACUGUGGACCCACUGGGAUGCAGAGCAAUAGGAGAGCAAUGGACUGUCCUCAAAGAGGGCCAUGAGCUGCACUGCCAGUGGGGAAGAACUGCUUCUGCUCAUCCGGGUAAUGUCGCUGUGUUGGCUGAAAAGUCUCCACUUGGUCCUGAGCGGUGCCACCUGCAGAUCCCUGCACCCACUGGAACAAAAUAAAAAGGUGUCGUAUGUGGUUUCAUGGCAGCAGGGAGGUGACAGCACACAUGGGCUGAGAAGCAGAAAUCCCCUUCAACAGCAGAGACUAUCUCUGCCAGCAGGUAGAGAAGAGGUUGUUUGUCUGAAGAAAGAAGGGUGUGGUGGAAAUACUUCAUGCCAGUCAAGUCAACCAAAAUACUACCUGAGUUACAAAGCAUGCUGGAAAACAAAAUUAAACAGAAGAUCUGGGCCCCACCUGUGCUCUCCCAGGAGCGACUGAGAGAAAAGGAGUUCUGGGAGCUGGGAACACACAGCUCCCUGCAGCAGCUGCACUAUGGAAUUCACCCUGGAUGAAUGGGAAUGCCAAUGUCUUCACCUCCUGAAGAGAGGACAGAGCUCUCAGACUGAAUUAGCCACAGCUGGAUAGGUUGUUUUGAAAUCUCCACAAUUUUCAGACCUGGAAGAUUUUUCCAUCAUGCUGGUCUGGGGUAGGCAUUUGGUGGGUGAGUAAACUAUAAUUUGGUUUGUUUUGCCUUAUGAAGUAAGUGUAGAAAAUACACCAAAGUAGCUGGUCACAUAUUUGGACCUGGGCUUCUCACGAAAGUUCUGCAAAACCCUCUCAAAUGUCUGAAUAUUUACUAAGUAGGUCACGAAAUAUUUUCCAACAACAAAAAUACAAAUACAAAAAUACAAUAGAGUAAUCCUAUUGGGAUGUAGUUAUGUGCUAAUGACUUUAUUUUCUUCUUCCUCCUGUUCAGGCAGUAACAUGCAAAGUGACCACAGCACUGUUGUGAAAUUGCUGAUUAACCUUUUGACUCUGACAAUUGGGACUUCUCUUAACACCAAUUGGUAAUGCAAAAGACCAUUAGUAGUUAAUAUUGGGACACCCCACCUCCAGAUGCCAAAAGGUUAAUGAAAAAGCAAGUAUCUUGCUUUUACUGGGAAACUUGGAAACCUUCCCACCAAACAUUUCAUUUUUUGUGAUAAACAAGCCAGACCGCUUCAGCUGAGAAAGACGGGUGUUUUGCUAAUGUGUACAGCUGUUAAUUGAAAAAGAUUCUGUUAUGCCUGUUCUUCUGGACAUAGAUAAAAGAGAGAUUUGUUGGUGAACUUUAGUUGGUCCUGAACACCCCUUUGUCAAAAUACACUGCUCAAUAAUAACGCUUUGUUCUGUCUGUAACAGCCACGGAAGGAUUUUGAGUGGAAUACUCAUUUUCUUUAAGUCAUAUCUGCCAGUGAUCAUUCUUGGCUUAAGAUCAGCUGCCAUUUAUGUGUUUUAUGAAAAUAUAACACCAGUUUUAUGCUCAAAACUAUUCUUUUUUAGGUAAAAGCUUCAGCACAAACUGGUUCCCCAUAUGUACCAUAAAUGCUAUUUAUCACAGGUUUUGGUCUUUAAAACAGAAUGAUAAUGUUAAAACAUUUUCAUUACCCUUUCCUUACAGCUAUCAUUCACAAACCAUCUUUUAUAAUUAUGGUACUAGGACAUUUACAUAACUGGGAAAAAGGUCCUUAAACUACAUUUCUAUUAUGUUUGGCACUUGUGUGAAAGGAUAUUAUAUUCAUGUGCAUUAGAGAUUGCUUAUAAAAGAUCAAGACAAUAAUAGCAGAUCAGACGAUAAAGGUUCCCUUUUCUCCUCCCAGACAGGCUGUCUCUGACAGAAGAAUACAGUUCAUCAAAAGUGUCUGCAGGUUGUCAAACUCAGUGAGAUUUGGGGACACUCGGAGGCUGUCAUGGCCAACAAGAAGAUUUUCUGUAGGGUUCUGCCAUCAUUCACCCUCAGGAAAUAAUCACUCACUACAUCCUGCAUGCUCUCAUGAUAGAGCUCUAUUUGAGAGAAAAGAGCCAUUUUAUCAAAGGACAAUAUAUCCCUUCUCUUGGUCCAUGCAGCUUCCAUUAUCAGACCAUAAUAAAUCAUAUUUAUGUUCUCAGUUAAUAAGACUGAUUACAAUGCAGGUUACAGGCAUGGGAAAAGCAAAGCAGGUGAAAAGAUGUUUUAAUGAAAAUAUGAUAAGCAAACAGCUUCUUGUGAACAUUUCAGGCUGUUAUUUGUAAUGAUCACAGGCAAUUUUUGAUACAUCUUCUUUAGCAAUGGUUUAAGCUGCAUAAAUUGGCUUGCCACUUUAUACGUCGAAAUAGGAAGAAUCCCAGUGUCCUUCUUAUGUUGUCUAGAAUCAUUAUAUACAUUAUAAGCAUAAAAUGAGUUUAAUGUAUGUGCUUUGAAAAGAUGGGGAAAACAGAAAAUCAGGGAGGACUGAUUUUAAUGCUGCUCAAAAUGAUUUUGAAAUUUUCUGCACAUCUUUGUUACUAACGGUGCAUUUUCCAUGAAAUUUAGGGAUGACAUGUGGUGCUUUCAUCUCCUUAAAAUUAAUAUACUUCUCUUUCUGUUUUUCUCAGUUUCUUCAAAGUUCUUUUUAGAACACUGUGCAAAGAGACAGAGAGAAAAUUCUCCACUCGAUGUGUGAACAUAUCUGUUAUUAAUGCUGGGGGGGAGUUAAGUGUGUGCUUCUAGAGGAGAAUAUACCCCUGCGUUAAACACUGAAAUCAACCCUAUCAAAAAGGUGCAAGGAUAUUUAGCUGCAGCACACCUGAUGCAUUCAAGGGCCAAAUUCCUUAGAAUCUUUUAAAGUGAUCAAGAUCUCUUUUGUUAAGAGCGCUCCAAUGAUUUCAGAAUAUAACUGUACUUAAGUAGCCGAGGAAGUGUCUUGCUCUUGUCUCGUGAAAAGCUUUCUUUUAUGUUUUAUUGUUGUUUUCUUUUUUUGCUGUAGUCAUUUGGUUUAUGUUUAGCAUCAUACUUUCAAGACAAAGUUAAAAAUUUAAAGAAUAAUUUCUUCCUGCUAGCACAUAAUGCUGACUAAGUAUUUCAAAAUCUACAGCACUUGCAGAAUGCAAGCAUUAUGCUUAUAAUGUAUAUAAUGAUUCCAGACAAUAUGAGAAGGACACUGGGAUUCUUCCUACUUUGAUAUAUAAAGUGGUGAGCAAACGCAGAAGUCUCCAUGGUGUUGUGUGUCUGCGGGAGCUGUUCUGGUCACUGAUACUUCUAAAGCUCCCUUAAACAAAUGUUAAAGCUUUGUAAUGGGCCUGGCAAUGGAGAAUGGCCAUGAAAUUCCCUUAACCCUUUUAGGGCACUUCAGCAGGAGAAGUGAUCACACAAGAAACAGUAAACUGCGCUUCAAAGGCAGCAUCCUGAUAUGACAACAGAUGUAGAUAAUGCACUUCAUGAUGAAACUGCUUGAUACAGAGAAAAACACGUUGUAACUGCCUUCACCCUGAAAGGGGUUUAAAAAUGCUGCCUGCCAACUCCACAAAAAACAGAGCUGCUAUUUCAGUUAAAGGCCGGUGGAUUGUAUUUUUCGUGUCAGUUUUCACUAACCUCAAACAUCACUGUUAUGACAGACUGUCAUCCAACCAAACCAGCACUGUGGUGCCAUUCAGGCAAGAAAGAAGAAAGCAAACACAAAGGAAACUUAGAAGUCCGAGCAGUAAGAGCGGGUGUCUGUGAGUGCACUUUUGUGCAGCGAUACUGAUUACUGAAAAUGAAACACUUAAAAGAAAACAAACCCAAAAAAGUGAUUUCUGAGCCAUUGGUGUUUUCUUGCCUGGCAAUUUCUCUUUGUUCUGUUUCAUGACAUCAGCCUCAGUGGUUGAAAGGGUGUUCUGGGCCAGAUGUCAAUCACUAUGUCUGACAUAAACAAAAAUAGCUAAAAAGACAUGCCAGCAUCUUCCUUUUGUUUUCCCAUUAGCUCCAUUUUUCUUUUCAGAGGCUGACAAAAAAUUACUGCCUCCGAGUGAAUUCAGUAAUGUCACUAUAUAUCUAAUAUCUAGGAGACCUUUUGUUUUAGCUUUACUGGGCUUAACCACAAAAGACACUUGACAUUGACAAAGAGUCUGUCAAAUACACAAUGAUCAGUGCAGUGAAAUCUCUCAUGACAGAAGGGCACUAUUCUGCACCCCCAGCCUGCAGCAGCCUAUCUGAGUAAAAUGUGCUGGAGCACACGCAGCAGCUGAACCAUUGCAGAGCAGGCCAUAAGCUGAGAUGUGUCUUGUUUAAAGUGUCAUAGUAUAUUAGUGUAAUUAAAACCGCCAAAAGAAUAGAAAAGAUAGAUGGAAAUGUUACAUUACUUGUUUCUAGAGAUUAACCUCCAGCCAGAACUGAAAUACAGAGACACAUUUUGCAUGUCUUAGAGCUCUGAUAUGGAAGAAAACAAGCCUGAGUGUAUGUCUCUUGAAGUGUGAGACAUGAAGUCAUAGUUCCUGUAUUUACACAAUAAAGCAGAAACAGCGCUUCAGACAGGCACGCUGUUUUCUCUCUGAUUACAGCUCCCGUUGUGGCUGUACUCUGCAAAGCAGCUGUAUCAUCUCUCAGCUACUUCCCUUUUACUCUCACUGCCUUCGUGCUUGGAAGGUCUUGAGACCCUUGGGCCCACAGAUGUGCUGGUGUCAAUGCCUUCUGCUCCCUCGGCAUCUGCCAGCGUUGCGUGGGCCCAGCCUAGAGGCAGAGCACCCUGUCCCUAUGGUGUCUGCAGAAGACACAGCUCAGCUCCAGACUCAGCAACACCCAGCUAGGAAGAUGUUUGAAGAAUGGCUUCAGUCUGACCUUUAUAUACCAGGCUGCAUGCUUGCUUCUCUGUUGAGUCUAUAGAUAAAACUGCAUGGCUUUCUGAAAUUGACUCUGAAAAUUAUGUUCCCAGAACUGCAUGUUUUCCUUCCCAUGCUUCAUUACCUCUGAUAACUAUUCAAGCCUAACUAGUUACGAUCUCUGUUCUAACCAUGAGGCAAGUUAUAUCUGGUGGUGAAAAACCCUUGGAGUUUUUAUGGACCUGUUCAGCUGUGUUGGCUGAACGUUGGUUUAUCCAGUAUCUGGAGAGGACCUCAUCUGGCUUCAGCAGUUCUGAAGCAUACAAAAGCAGCGUGGUUUUCUUCUAAUGUAAGCCUUACAUUCAAGGAGAAGAUGCAUUAAUCAGAUUCAUCUCAGUGACUGUGAAAUUCCUGAGGAUGUUAUUACUUUCAAGUCAGAUUAACGGAGUAAUUUCCAGACAACCAUGCUACCAGAAUACAUGAUACUACUCCUAAAGUGGACCUCAAAAACUUUGAGAAAGAAAAUGAUUCCAUCUUUUUUGAUCAGGUUCUUCCUCUACAGGAGUUCCUGCAGCUACAGGACCAGGAGAUGUCCGAGGUCAAGAAAAGGUUAAAGUUGUUCACUGCUUUCAAGCUCUGGCCUUAGAAGUUAAUUCAGUGCUGUGCUGCGAGAGCUACAGAGUAAAUCCUUGGAACAGUGAAUUGCUGGUUUGAUAUCAAGCUCACGUCAACAUUUCUAUCAGAAAGAAUCACCAUAAUCACCAGAUAUAUUAGCAGAAACUGCUCCUUCCCAUUGACCACAUACGCCAAAAUCCUUGGAAACUCUUAAGCCGUGGACUUCCCCUGAAGACAUACAGAGAAAAUGGCUCAAGCGAACACUCCUCCAUUCCUUCAGUGGAGCCCAGGUCAGCUGUGACAAGCAUCUGCUCUGUGGGUAGGUGCAAAAUACACGACAAAGAUAUCGGCCGUGGAUCCCUUCUGUAAACGAUGACCUCAUCCGGAGGUUAUGGGACCUUCACGAGGAUACCAGUCGUACUCCUCCAUGGCGAUGUGUUACAGUGAGUAACUCGCUUCCUGGAUGCACUUGUAACAGGCAGAUAUCCUAACAACACAGGAUACGCAGACAUGUCCAGGUCUUUAAAAAGUCUUCCAAUGCAAUUAUUAAGGUAUUACGUGCUGAUAAUGCCACCAAAAACAUUGAGCAUGCUGUUCAUUCAGUUGGGCAUGAAACUACUUCCUUCUGAAUAUUUUAAAUGUACUUGGCUAAUUAAUUAAACAAUUAAUAAGGGCUACAGUUAAGUUUCUGUUUUUCAUUGUAACAAAUUAUUCCAGAGCAUUGUUUUUACUGAAUUCUGCAUAGGACUCUUUUUGGACACCACACCGAAGUGCAGCUACGAUGUUAAAAGAAAAAUGUUCCUUUGACAAAUGAAAUCUUUAAAAUGGCAACAAGCAAGGAAAAAGUCAGCUCUGAGUGGAAAACAUUUAAUAUGUUUUGAUGAUUUCUUAUCUCAGACAGAAGAGAAGACAAGUUGAUUUUCUCUGCUGAAACUUUUUGAAGUGAGUUCUGACUGAAAAGAUGUGGUGGUGUUUUAACAAAAACAUAUUGUUAUAAAACAUGAUGUAUGCUCAGAAGUAUUAAUGUGUACCUCUCUGCUUCAGGUUUGAACAUUUCAGUCGAGUGAACUAGCCUGUUCCAUUUAUUUUUUAAAUUCUUAUCCAGUUGAUCUUUUUUUUUUGUUGUUCUUUAAGUUUACAGUAGUUCAAUGGCUACUUUUAUCUCUGAUUUAGGCUUUCAAACAGCACCAAACUCUGCCGUCCCAUCCUGUAAUCUGUCCAUUUAUUAUGGUGACUGGUGAACAGAGGCAACAUGUUAGUGCAAGCACUGUAAAAAUAUCUGUGGAGAAAACAUUCUUUCACUCUAAAGGAUAAGUUCCAUAAGAAUGUAUAUUCUCCAGUAUUUGCAAAAGUACGGUACGGAUUUUUCUUGUUAAAGGUGGCAAUGUCUGAAUCGCAAAUAAUUUCACGUUUAUAUGAGAGACAAUAUAUCAUUUUACAGAUCUGUAAUCAUGGAAAUCAAUGGCCAGUAUCCAUUUAAGAAAAUCGAAAUAAUUUAACUGAUUUACUUAAACAAUGCCUUGUUAGACUACGGAAUUUAAAGUCCUCUUUCAAAAUGAAGGUUGUUUUAAGUAGCGAACUUAUUAUUACAUACUACAUUCUAGUGGCACGUAAACACUUCUGAUUUAAAACAUGAAUUCCGUGUAAGUUCAAACUGAUGUCUUUGACUUUAGUUACAGAACUCAAUUUCAGGACUUUCUGCUGCUGGUGGCUGUAUAUCAGUUCUUCCAAUAGGGAUGUGCUCAGGACAAAUUAGUGAACGUAAUUUUAGCUGUAUGAGGUCAUUACAAAUACAGCCUUAGCUCUUCCUAGAGUGGACUUCAUUGUUAAUAUAAAUAUAUAUCUAUAGUUACUGACAUUUAUAUUAUUUGGCUCCUGUCCUAAGUUAUGGAUACAGUGAUGAUAAAAGCCCUUACCUAAGUGAGUCAUGCUUACUAAUUACUUCCAUGGUACUGGGUUCCUGUAAAUAAAGUUACUCAUGUAUUUAUAAGCAAGUCAAAAUUUAUACAUAUGUUUCUAAGAGUGAGUUAUCUUUCUCUCUGGGGCAAACAGCACAGUCUGCUGUUUGGAAAAGAAUGCUGAGAGUAAGGACAUCCAGGGUGCUUCCUCGCUUCUGCAAGGGUGCGUGCUCUCCUCUGCCAUUGGAUAUCCAACUAAAAUACUUAAUUUGGUCACAUUUUUUAAACUGUUUAAGACCCUUCUGCAUUACUUCAAGGUAGGAAAUGGCUGUUGAUUUUUCCUCGCUGUUUCCAAAGAGGCUGCGGUAAGAGGGUUUCAGUCUAAUUGUUUGCUCUAAAGAUGUAGCGUUCAAGACACAAAGCCUAGCAGUGUGACGUGGAAGAUAUCAAGACAAAGCAGCAGCCUCAACAUCUCUCUCUAAUGAGAACAGGAAAAGACAAUUGAGAUCCCGUAGGAAUGCAGUAUAUUUAGGAGAGAAGCAGAGCUCCUUUCACGAAUGGAGAGAGAACCCUGGUGAAUGCUGGACUACCUGCUAUCUCUGGGUGUGACUAGGUGAGUGAAGGAUUUGGAUCACAGCCUGUAACGUUUUCCAGACAUUUAGAGUGCAACUACUACAACUACUACGCCAGCAAUUUUAUGCCUUCCUUUCCCUGACUCCAACAGUAUGCGAGAUAAGCAGCCAGAUUUUCUUCUGCAUUGUGUUUUUUUAUCCAUUCAGCCAAAAUUAACAGUCUUCAAGGAUAAUGUAUGCCAAGCGAAUUUAAAUCUUGCGGACUCAAAUCGACCUAAAGUUGAUGGAUACAUUCAUGCCUACUGCUGAAAUCUACCAAUUACACAGAACUAUGCUAACUUACCAUAGAAACAUCUCAUCUAAUAGCACAGAUGAUGUUGAACUAACUAAUUACAUUAUGGCACAUAGACAAUGAAAAACAUAACGAAGAUGACAGCACAGCAACAACAGAUGCUGCACAAAAGAAAAAUUAGAAAAAUAUUGCUCUGCAAAAUGCUGUCUGUUAAGGUUUCUUCUGUUAAAAUUAAUCACAAAAAUUAGUGAAGAUUAGAUUUCAGCAGAAGAUACGAGCAUUGUAAUGCUAUUUGGAAAACGUCAUUAAACCAUUUAAAGUCCUACUCUUUCAGAAGGUAAUUCCCCCUUUUUUUUUUGUAUCACUGUCGGCUUUAAGAUGAGUAAACAGUUCAGUGCCGAUGGCAGAGUUUCUUGGGAGGAUGUCUUUCCCAGUGAGGAGAGGUCCCGAUGGCUCUUCCAGAGCCGUGUUUGGUAGCUUCCAGCCAUUAGAGCUUAGAUAAUUAGGCAACUCAGAUUUUAUUUUAGCUUGGCAUUUGCUCUGUUCUGUGCUCUUGGCUGUCAGUGACAGUUGAUUAUCUGUAGCGUGCCUUGUUACUUUAUAUAUUUUAAACUGUAACAGAUCCUAAAUACCAAAUCUGAAACUGCUGAGUAUGUUUAAAUGUAAUAUAUACAUGGGGAUUACAUCCAGAUGAUGUACUUCAUAGACCUGUGAUAAAAAAAAAUGCAUCACUUCUAGCCCACGCCGGUCCUCACCCCCUCCCCCGGUAGCUUUCCAUGAGCUCCCGGCUGCUUCAGCACCGAUCCUGAACGUAAUCCAGCUGAUGGAGAGAGACAGAAAGGGGCUUUUCCCCUAAAUAUAUAUUUCCUCUAAAAAUACCUCUGAUGCUGCUCAAGUUUCAAUACCUUACUGGCUUUAUAAGAAAGCAAAACAUAUAUUUGAUAUCCUGUUUCUCCCAGUUUAUUUUUCAGCUGGACUUUUCUUUCUCUUCAGCUGUUGUGCGGUUCCCUGGCUCCCUGCUGCUCGUCCGGCGGCGGCCGGGGUGCAGGCACGGCGGAGGCCCACAGGUGGCGGUGUAGUUCAAGCACACCUGGGCUGUGAUUGCAGAGCCGCGCUGCCGGCCGGCCUGCCGGGGAAGAUACUCUGCUUCUCCUGCCUGCAAGGAAAUACUCCCGGCUGAAGUUCCGCGCACCCGUGCCGCCGCGCCCCAGCCUUCAGCAGGGGCAGAAACGUUCUGUUGACCCUGCAACAGCGGCCGCGCACGAAGGUG